CCCGAAACUAGGUGAGCUACUUCAAAACAGCCUUCAAGGGCCAACCCGUCUCUGUUGCAAAAGAGUGGGAAGAUUUUCAAGUAGAGGUGACAGACCUACCGAACCUAGAGAUAGCUGGUUAUUCAGGAAAAGGAUUUAAGUCCUGCCUUAAGCUUACCCUUAUUCCAAAAUAUUCCCAUAAGCCUAAGAGCCAUUCAAAUAAGGUACAGCCUAUUUGAAACAGGAUACAACCUCCAACACAGGGUAAUGAUAUUUUCAAAUGUGACUAAGUGGGCCUAAAAGCAGCCAACUUUUAAAUAGCGUUAAAGCUUCAUCACUUAACUAUACUAAUACCCAUAUAUUUACAAAACCCUUCAUCACUACUGAAUGACUCCAUAAUUAUAUGGAGAACACUAUGCUAGAACUAGUAACAAGAAGAAGACCUUCUCCAAAAUGUAAGUGUAAGCCAAAAUGAACACCUCACUGGCACUUAUCGUCUAUGAACCUAUAGUAGCAACACCUCAAGAAAACCCUACUACAAUUAUACGUUAACCUUACACCAGAACAUUACC
rnacentral:rRNA from 1 species